ensembl:misc_RNA Y_RNA Y RNA
GGCCGGCUCGAGUGCAGUGGUGUUUACAACUAAUUGAUCACAACCAGUUACAGAUUUCUUUGUUCCUUCUCCACUCCCACUGCUUCACUUGACUAGUCUUUA